UGUCUGUGUGGUGGUUUGAGAAAGUGAAUGUUGGGGCAUUGGAGUACUCAGGGUUUUUUGUUUGCCAUGGAUAAAGGGUGGACACAGUUACCCUUGUUUGUAAUCUUCCUGCUCUUUUUGAGUAAUACUCAUGGAUUUAAAGGUGGGGCUCAUUCAGAUGCCCGCCACCGGUGGGGCCAAGCUUCAGACAGAACGUUCUCACCUCGUGCAGUCCAGUCUUCUGUGUCAGAGGUCCCUGUGACUGGGAUUUUGCCUGAAGAAGUGGG